rnacentral:tRNA from 1 species
GGGGAUUUAGCUCAGUGGUAGAGCGCUUGCCUAGCAAGUGCAAGGCCCUGGGUUCGUUUCCCAGCUCCG